rnacentral:ncRNA from 1 species
AUGCAAGUCAAGGGGCCGCAAGGCACCGGCGAACGGCUUAGUAACACGUAGAUACAUACCGUAAAGUGGGGCAUAGCUCGUCGAAAGACGGGGUAAUUUCCCAUAGCACCAAUCCAAAACUUAGAAAGUUUUGGAAUUAUUCUAAUUAUACUAAUUACUCUAAUUAUUCUAAUCAAUACCUGAAUUAGUGAAUUUCUAAUUUCUAAAACGAUUUAGGAUUUGGAUAUUUUCGAUUUGGGAUUUGAUUAGGUUAAUUAGGUUAAUUAGAAUAAUUAGGUUAAUUCCGUCCAAAACUUGUUGAGUUUUGGAUUGGUUAAAGGCGCAAGCCGCUUUAUGAAUGGUCUGCGGUCUAUCAGCUAGUUGGUGGGGUAAAAGCCUACCAAGGCUAUGACGGAUAGGGGGCGUGAGAGCGCGACCCCCAAGAAUGGCACUGCGAUCAAUCGGUCGCCUAGAGAAGUA